rfam:Ciona savignyi cont_33053, whole genome shotgun sequence.
GCAUUGGUGGUUCAGUGGUAGAAUCCUCGCCUGCCACGCGGGGGGCCCGGGUUCGAUUCCCGGCCAGUGCA